rnacentral:rRNA from 1 species
AGAGUUUGAUCCUGGCUCAGAACGAACGCUGGCGGCAGGCUUAACACAUGCAAGUUGAACGUGAUUUGCUGGGUGCUUGCACCGAGCAAUGAAAGUAGCGCACUGGUGAGUAACACGUGGGAACGUACCUUUUGGUGGGGAACAACAGUUGGAAACGACUGCUAAUACCGCAUAAGCCCUGAGGGGGAAAGAUUUAUCGCCGAAAGAACGGCCCGCGGAAGAUUAGGUAGUUGGUGGGGUAACGGCCUACCAAGCCGACGAUCUAUAGCUGGUCUGAGAGGACGAUCAGCCACAUUGGAACUGAGACACGGUCCAAACUCCUACGGGAGGCAGCAGUGAGGAAUAUUGGGCAAUGGAGGCAACUCUGACCCAGCCAUGCCGCGUGAGUGAAGAAGGUUUUCGGAUUGUAAAGCUCUUUCGGGUGUGACGAUGAUGACGGUAGCACCUAAAGAAGCCCCGGCUAACUUCGUGCCAGCAGCCGCGGUAAUACGAAGGGGGCAAGCGUUGUUCGGAAUUACUGGGCGUAAAGGGAGUGUAGGCGGUUAUGUAAGAUAGUGGUGAAAUCCCAGAGCUUAACUUUGGAAUUGCCAUUAUGACUAUGUGGCUAGAAUUACAGAGAGGAUAGUGGAAUACCCAGUGUAGAGGUGAAAUUCGUAGAUAUUGGGUAGAACACCAGUGGCGAAGGCGACUAUCUGGCUGUAUAUUGACGCUGAGGCUCGAAAGCAUGGGGAUCAAACAGGAUUAGAUACCCUGGUAGUCCAUGCUGUAAACGAUGAGUGCUUGUUGUCGGUGUAAAAUCGGUGACGAAGUUAACGCGUUAAGCACUCCGCCUGGGGAGUACGGUCGCAAGAUUAAAACUCAAAGGAAUUGACGGGGACCCGCACAAGCGGUGGAGCAUGUGGUUUAAUUCGAUGCAACGCGAAGAACCUUACCUACUCUUGACAUCCAGAGAACUUAGCAGAGAUGCUUUGGUGCCUUCGGGAACUCUGAGACAGGUGCUGCAUGGCUGUCGUCAGCUCGUGUUGUGAAAUGUUGGGUUAAGUCCCGCAACGAGCGCAACCCUUAUCCUUUGUUGCCAGCGGUCCGGCCGGGAACUCAAAGGAGACUGCCAGUGAUAAACUGGAGGAAGGUGGGGAUGACGUCAAGUCAUCAUGGCCCUUACGAGUAGGGCUACACACGUGCUACAAUGGCGCAUACAAAGAGAAGCGACCUCGCGAGAGCAAGCGGACCUCAUAAAGUGCGUCGUAGUCCGGAUUGGAGUCUGCAACUCGACUCCAUGAAGUCGGAAUCGCUAGUAAUCGUAGAUCAGAAUGCUACGGUGAAUACGUUCCCGGGCCUUGUACACACCGCCCGUCACACCAUGGGAGUGGGUUGCAAAAGAAGUAGGUAGCUUAACCUUCGGGAGGGCGCUUACCACUUUGUGAUUCAUGACUGGGGUGAAGUCGUAACAAGGUAACCGUAGGGGAACCUGCGGUUG